rnacentral:rRNA from 1 species
AUCUUUUGCCCGCUACACCAGCAUCCGCCAUCCCUUUCGCUCUGCAGUGGUUGGCUUACCGCUACUUUCCCUCGGGAGUGCGGAAAGGGAGGUGUUAGUGUGGUAGGAAGAGACGAGAUGAGACGCGGGGGCGAGGACAAGACGAGACGAGGUAACGGAAGGAAAGAGACGGCGCUCCUCGAUCGAUCUCUCUUUCUUUCUUCGAACGGCCUCAGCCUCUUCCCCUCCCUCUCCCUCCUACAGCCUGACCCCCGGCCACCACUAGCGCCACCACGACAAGCACGACGACAGCGGCCCCGACGACGACGUCGAGGGGCCCUUCGUGGUGAAGCACCUCAAGCCGUUGUACGUGUGGUCGCGGUACCGGUAGGAGCAGGUGCGGUAGUAGAUGAAGCGGGAGUAGCGCGAGAAGCAGUAGCAGUAGCCGCACGUGUAGUGGUGACUGAUCUCUGGCCGACUGAGGUUAAUUCGACGAGAAGGGGAAGAAGGCAAAAGAAAAAAAGUAGGCUAGGUAGACUGAGGACGGAUAGAAGACAAGACAAGACGAGAACGACGAACGUUGAUGAACAUCAUCAUGUACACUAGUACAAACAAACAACGGCGCAUACAUCGAAGAACUAAUUAUUUCUCUACACAAAUGAGUUAAAAGGUACCUCACCGUGUAUGUUUCAAUAAAUUAGUAGACUUCGAGAUCUAAUUGGCCAUCUACAC